CUUGCCCUUAGAGGCACUGCAAAUGUGGCUGCAAUGUCAUAUGUCAGUAGGCGGAAGAGAGGUGAGAGGCUAUUUCUACACUCAUUUUCUGAUCUAUGAACAUCUGAAUGAUUAGUAGGCUAACAUU